rnacentral:rRNA from 1 species
AUGCAAGUCGAGCGAUGAAGUUUCUUCGGAAAUGGAUUAGCGGCGAACGGGUGAGGAACACGUGAAGAAUCUGCCCUCCACUUUGGGAUAACACAGGGAAACCUGUGCUAACACCGAAUAUUGAAACAUAAGUGGCAUCACUGAGUUUUGAAAGAAUUUCGGUGGAGGAUGACUUCGC